UAAGGAAUAUUGGUCAAUGGACGCAAGUCUGAACCAGCCAUGCCGCGUGAAGGAUGAAGGUCCUCUGGAUUGUAAACUUCUUUUAUCUGGGACGAAAACGGGAUUUUUAUCUCAAUUGGCGGUACCAGAGGAAUAAGCACCGGCUAACUCCGUGCCAGCAGCCGCGGUAAUACGGAGGGUGCGAGCGUUAUCCGGAUUUACUGGGUUUAAAGGGUGCGUAGGUGGGCUUAUAAGUCAGUGGUGAAAUCUCCGAGCUUAACUUGGAAACUGCCGUUGAUACUAUAGGUCUUGAAUUAUCUGGAGGUAAGCGGAAUAUGUCAUGUAGCGGUGAAAUGCUUAGAUAUGACAUAGAACACCAAUUGCGAAGGCAGCUUACUACAUAUAAAUUGACGCUGAGGCACGAAAGCGUGGGGAUCAAACA
rnacentral:rRNA from 1 species